GGGGCUGGGGCUCAGUGAUAGAGCGCUCACCUGGCGUGUGUGAGGGACUGGGUUCAAUCCUCAGCACCA
rnacentral:tRNA from 1 species